rnacentral:rRNA from 1 species
GAUGAACGCUAGCGGGAGGCUUAACACAUGCAAGUCGAGGGGUAACAUUGGAGCUUGCUCCAGAUGACGACCGGCGCACGGGUGAGUAACGCGUAUGCAACCUACCUCAAACAGGGGAAUAGCUCAGGGAAACCUGGAUUAAUGCCCCAUAAUAUUUAGAUUUGGCAUCAGAUUUAAAUUAAAACUCCGGUGGUUUGAGAUGGGCAUGCGUGACAUUAGCUAGUUGGUAAGGUAAUGGCUUACCAAGGCUACGAUGUCUAGGGGUUCUGAGAGGAUGAUCCCCCACACUGGUACUGAGACACGGACCAGACUCCUACGGGAGGCAGCAGUGAGGAAUAUUGGUCAAUGGGCGCAAGCCUGAACCAGCCAUCCCGCGUGUAGGAAGACUGCCCUAUGGGUUGUAAACUACUUUUAUAAAGGAAGAAACUCAGCUACGUGUAGCUUUUUGACGGUAGUACAUGAAUAAGCAUCGGCUAACUCCGUGCCAGCAGCCGCGGUAAUACGGAGGAUGCGAGCGUUAUCCGGAUUCAUUGGGUUUAAAGGGUGUGUAGGCGGCUUAUUAACGCAGUGGUGAAAUCUUGCGGCUCAACCGUAGAACUGCCAUUGAUACUGGGUUUCUUGAAUAUAGUUGAGGUAGGCGGAAUGAGUAGUGUAGCGGUGAAAUGCUUAGAUAUUACUCAGAACACCGAUUGCGAAGGCAGCUUACUAAACUAUUAUUGACGCUGAUGCACGAAAGCGUGGGGAGCGAACAGGAUUAGAUACCCUGGUAGUCCACGCCGUAAACGAUGUUCACUCGCUGUAUGCAAUACACCGUAUGCGGCCAAGCGAAAGUAUUAAGUGAACCACCUGGGGAGUACGUCGGCAACGGUGAAACUCAAAGGAAUUGACGGGGGCCCGCACAAGCGGAGGAACAUGUGGUUUAAUUCGAUGAUACGCGAGGAACCUUACCUGGGCUUAAAUGUAGAUUGCAUGACGUGGAAACACGCUUCCCUUCGGGGCUAUUUACAAGGUGCUGCAUGGUUGUCGUCAGCUCGUGCCGUGAGGUGUCGGGUUAAGUCCCAUAACGAGCGCAACCCCUAUCGUUAGUUGCCAUCAGGUCAUGCUGGGGACUCUAGCGAGACUGCCACCGUAAGGUGAGAGGAAGGUGGGGAUGACGUCAAAUCAGCACGGCCCUUAUGUCCAGGGCUACACACGUGUUACAAUGGUCGGUACAAAGGGCAGCUACACCGCGAGGUGAUGCUAAUCUCUAAAGCCGGUCUCAGUUCGGAUCGAAGUCUGCAACUCGACUUCGUGAAGUUGGAUUCGCUAGUAAUCGGAUAUCAGCCAUGAUCCGGUGAAUACGUUCCCGGGCCUUGUACACACCGCCCGUCAAACCAUGGAAGCUGGGGGUGCAUGAAGUCUGUGACCGUAAGGAGCGGCACUAGGGUAAA